AGAGUUUGAUCCUGGCUCAGAAUGAACGUUGGCAGCGUGGAUUAGGCAUGCAAGUCGAGCGACAAGGUUCCUUCGGGGACUGGAGGAGCGGCAAACGGGGUAGUAAGGCAUCGGAACGUACCCUUCUGUUCGGGAUAGCCGCGGGAAACUGCGAGUAAUACCGGAUAACACCGGCCUUUGUGAUGAAGGCCGGUCAAAGGUCCGCCGCGGAAGGAGCGGCCGAUGUGAUAUCAGCUUGUUGGCGGGGUAACGGCCCACCAAGGCAUAGACGUCUAGGGGAUGUGAGAGCAUGAUCCCCACCACUGGGACUGAGAUACUGCCCAGACACCUACGGGUGGCUGCAGUCGAGGAUCUUCGGCAAUGGGCGCAAGCCUGACCGAGCGACGCUGCGUGCGGGAUGAAGGCCCUUGGGUUGUAAACCGCUGUCAGAGGGGAUGAAAGCGAAAGCUUGACAGAGCCUCAGAGAAGCGCGCAUGC
rnacentral:rRNA from 1 species